rnacentral:tRNA from 1 species
GCGAUCUUUUCCCACUGGUCAGAGGCAUAAAGAAUCUGACUACGGAUCAGAAGGUUGGGGGUUCGAAUCCCUCCGGGCGCA